CAAGGCAACAGCAGGGGAUGUAAGAAAUCGCCUAGAUAAGACAUACUUCCUAUAUUGCUCUUCAAGCCAGCUUACAGGCUCAUAGCAGCAUUCUCUAAGGUGAAAUAGCGUCUCCAAAGCAUGUUCUAUGUAUUCCAUCCUGAUUCUACUCGGAUCCACCAAGCGAAAGAAUUUUGCAUCAAGUGCAGGCCCUGGAAUGCAGCCAUGUUGAACUAGAGAAUUGAUUUUGAACAAGAUUUUGAAUUGCAGUUUAAUGCCAUGAGGUGGACUGAUCAUCGGGACAAGAUCAGUAUUGCAAGAGAAUGCAGAGCCUGGUACUAGAGUGAACUGCACUGGACUUUCUUUGUAGUAGAAGAAAUCUUUCAGAGUUUUCGGAAUAUGAGCCCCUCUGGGAAGUUCCAAACACAUAGCAGAUGAUUGUCCAAUGCUUGAAGAUGGAGUAAAAUCAACUUCACGAAUCCAGUGGACAUCUUUCUCAUAAAUCUUAGGAGCACCAUGCAACUGGCAACAGAAAAAAAAGAAAACAAGCUUUUAGCUUAUGACAUUUGAAAGAUGUAAGCUGAUCGAUCAUACAUCACGGUAUUGAAGUUAUAGCUUUCUUGUAAGUGAUCAAUUUGCAAAAAGCUGCAUUUCUUGGUACAUGACAUGAAGUGAUUCUUAAAAAAAAAAAUCAGAUUAAUAAUUUGUAAUAAAGAAUACAAACCUGAAUGACAAGAUACUUAUCAGAGUGACGACUGGAACGGUGAAGCACAAUCUGCCAAAUGCUUUCAUAGGAGAGCUCAAGCUUAUAAUCUACAGAUGCACAAGACAGAAAGAACAUGAAUUUUCUGAGGUCCGAACACAGUUUCACAGAAACGUUUUCCUGCGACCAGAGCACAGAAAACUUGUCCUCGGAAAUUUGGCAUCCAAAAUUCAACUUCAGAUCAUCAUCCAACUUGGAAUACGGGCUCCUUCUCUUUGCAUCGGAAGCUUUUAGAUAAGAAUUCCCGUACCACAGACGACGCUCAGCAGCCAACCCCUUGAUUAGUUCUGCAGCUUCCACAGUUGUGAACUCAACUACAGCAUGUGCUCUUGAACCUUCAUUUUGUCCAACUUCUACAUAAGAAACAGUUCCUUCACCGGUAUGUACCUCCAGAAAUUCCUUCACAACUUCGGAAGACGCAAGUGAAGCAAAUCCAAACAAACUGAUCGUCUUAGCCAUUUCGUCUAAACAAUUUCAACUACAGUCUCAAUUGUACAGUAUUGAAGGUUAGCAACUCUUACAAUGCCAAACUUAUGCAAUCAAUUAACAAUAAAAGGCAACACAUGCUCCUACAGAAAUAUAUAACUAGGACGGAAAGCAAGUUCUACACCAAAUAAUAUAAGCAAAUAACUUACUAGAAAAGAGUGAUUACUCAGAGAAGCUUGCAGCAAGAGAUGCCAAUAAACACUAACUAGCUUUGUGAGAAACAAAUGGUGGUCAAGGAAGGUGUAUAUAGAUAGAAGAGCUCAUCAAUGCCUUCUUCUUGGUCUUCACUUUUCAAUACUAGGAAACUUCUUGCAUAAGCAGACUUGGCUAUGACCUUUGGGCCCCAUUGAUCGUGUAGCUGCUUAAAUUAGCACCCAAACUCCCAAGUGACUGACACGUCUCGACAUCUCAUUGGCUGACAUGAGUUUUCUCCCAUGAAAUAGUUAGUUUUAACUCAACACAUAGGGUCACGCGGAGUUAGAAAAUGCCAUGUUGUGUCCCUUGUUGAAUUAGCUGAUGAAGCUGAAUCUCAUGCUACACACGUUGGAGUGCCAGCUGGAAUCAAGCCAGCUGUAAACCUAGUAGCUAGCCUAGAAGUUAGAAUGAAAGAUACACGUGAAGAGCUGAAGAAUCCCAGGUGGCAAAACUGUUAUGAAGAGAUUCCCAUGCAGUUAGAUGCAGCUGGAAUUAGUUGAUAGUUUAGCUAUUGUUAAUUGUGUAUUUGUUAUUUUGUUAGUUAGAUUGCUUAGCCAUGAUUGGUGUGAUUAGAAAACAUUAGAUUCAACUAUAAAUACUGAGCCAAGCUCAUUAUUGUAAAUUUAGUUUUGUGAUAAUAGAAAAACAGAUCUUCAUCUUCCUCAUCUGAUCCUCAAAAUCUAACUUCCCUAGUGUCUUCGUAAGAUUCUUCAGUUAAAGUCGUCAUUGGUUCAACGUUGACAUGAAGUGAUCCACUGUGAGAGUCUCCAUAGUUUCAUGCAAUAAACUAUCAAUAAGUUACCUACACAUCAUCAAGAUACUUUCUCUGUUGUGUGGUGGCACAAGAUUAUUGAGCAGCGAGCGAAGUUCUCGAAUGUUCCGGCCAUAUUUUAAUGAUUUGAUAAGAGAACAAAAUGUGCAUGCAUUUAACUUCCAUGCAAGGAACACAUAUUUUAAGGCUAGCAAAAAGGAAAAAGGUGAUAAUGAAAAUAUAUGUCCCUAGUAGCAUGAUAGGGAAGGAGAAGGGAUCUGAGCUGCUCGAAGAAGGAUGAAUAAAGAGAUAUUUCUGUUUUGCAUAAAGUUGUGGAGAGUGGAAACAAUAACGAAACUUACACGCCACGAAGAAAGACAGUAAAUGUCAGUCGAGUUCCUAGAAGCUAAAGCUAUAUCCAAUAGGAGUAAAGUCCUCGUUGUUCCACACACUUUAUGACAUUUGCUAAUUAAUAUGCAAAUUAUAUUCAUUAAGCAAGUUGUAUCUCCCUUCACUGAGAUAUAAUAUAGUAGUUAAAAUAAGAUACUGAAUAAGCUAAUUAAGCUAUCCAAAAAGAUUUACGACAAAAAUUGUGUAUCUUUAAAUGACUGUUAUUGCUUUAAUUUUUUUAUAUAAUUUUUUUAAAUGAAAACACUUUUACAACAUGAUUAGAAUUAAAUAUUUUCAGAAAUCCAAAUCUAAUCCACUAGUAAAGAUAAUAACAAUCAGGCUCGCAAGCCAUGAAGGUGAAAAGUGCACUAAACUUAGAAAGACUAUUGACCCAGCAUUCCACCAAGAGAAGCUCAAGGAAUAUAUAUACCUUUAUGUGUACUAAUGGAAUAUUAAGUUCCAUAAUGCCAUCAUUUUCUUGCUUUUGAUACAGCUUAUGCUGCCUGCGUUUUACCAUAGUUGCAGGGAAAUAAUUACCGAGUGGGAGAAUUUGAUGUGUACUGAAGGAUCAUGUAAGUUGGAUGUAUGGCCUUAUCUUGUAAAUUUGAUAAGUGAUGUGAUUUGUCAAAUGGCUUUUGGGAGCAACUAAGAAGAAGGAAUUAUAAGCAUUUUCCAGCCCCAAACAGAACUAGCCGAUCUCCCCUCGCAAGCUUUACAGUGAGUUUACAUUCCAGGAUGGAGGUGCAAAAAAUAAUCUCUGGCUAAUUUGAAAACAUGUAUAUCCCAAGUUAUUUACUAACACAUUAAUCAUAAAGUUGGAAUUUACUUAUGACGAUAGUAAGUAUUAGUCUCCUGUUUCGUUAGUCUUUUUUAUUUUCAUUUAUGUAAAUGUUUUUAGACAGUUGUACUUUAUUAAGUGCAAUUUCCGUUGUUAUUGUUGCAAAGAGUGAAUUUUCAUAUUUUUUAGAGUGCAGACUUGUGCACUUAAGAAAAACGGUUUCUUGUUAAUCUCAUUUUAGUAAAUUUUUACUGCUUAUAUAUAGAUAUGUCCCUACUAAGAGAAACAGGACAAUGAUGGACCUUAACAAGGAAAUCCGCUCUUAGAAAUAAUGAAAACAGGGGAAGCUAAAAAGGAUGACUUAUUAGGUUUGCUUAUGGAAUCAAAUUUUAGAGAAAUUAAAGAACAUCGAAACAACAGACUUAAAGGGAUCAGUAGGGACGCUGUUAUCUGUGGCUAAGAAUGUAAACAAUUUAACUUUGCUGGACAAGAGGAUACUUCAGUUUUGCUUCUUGGCACAAUGGUUUUGCAAGUCUUUGGUGAUAUGAAAGUUGAAAACUGACUUCGAUGGAUUGAAUCACCUCAAAAUCGUAAGUAUAUAUAACUCUAGGAUUUCAUUGUGAUCAAUAUUUUCAUCACACAAUUAUGUAUCUGUUAGGAUAAUAAUUUAAUAUUUAUUUAGAUACCACUCCCAAUGAUAUUUUUAAUAUGUAUGGAUAUCAUAAAUCGUAACAUUCUUUAUCCAUGCAUCUGUGAAUUCCAAGUAAUCACACAACAAACCAUAUUUUUAUUUUAUUACAGAAACUAAAAACAAGUUUCAAAUUCAAGUACAGAUCACACCACACUUGCAUCUCACAGCAACAACAACAACUGCAGCAGCAACAGCAACAACAACAAGAAGGUAAAGAAGCCGUCACACAAGCUGCUUAUUUAAAAAAUAAUUGCACACACUUAACUAUUUUAAUGUCAAAUCGCUCCACAACUAAGAGCACAAUCCAUGUCUGGAAUGGCACUCCCUAGCGAUGGAAAUUUUCAAGGCCUGGCCUUUAGGAGCUCUGUUUUCCCCUUUUGAUCUCAAUCAGCUUGUCAUGGAUGCACCACGGGAAGCUGAGAAAAUGGUCUCGAUUCAUUCCUUCUCGUUUAUACCGACCCCAGUAACUUGGAUGGUAAGUCACAUGGUACCAAGCUGAAGCUUUUGCGUAUACAGCUUCAUGGCUAGAAUCUGACUCAUUCUUCUUCUUGUUGAACCAGGUCCUGGCUUCUUUUCUUAAUGACCUUACAGCAAAAGUGAUUGCUUCCAAGUCUCUUUUCUUAUCAAAGGACUUUGCCAUUUCCAUGAUGCACCCACUCAGUAUUUCAGCCUCAGUUUUGAUCCCAUAAUAAUCCAUCAAGUUCCCCAACUUGAUAUCAUACUCAGUUUUGUAGUUGAAAGCAUCGAUGAUGUAGUGCUUAAAGCCAUCAACUUCCAUAUCAGUAUCAUAGGACUGCAUUGCCACUUCCUUAGUAAAGGAUUUCAUAGUGGCUGUUGAUGGUGCAAUGCCUUUUACCUCUCGAUAAAGCUUCCCAAUGACACGCUGCGAUUCAUAGCAGGUUUUGUUUUGCUUCUCCAUAAAGUCUGGAUAUUUCUUGACACGUAGUCCACUGGGUAUUGUGGCUGCGACUCCAGUUUUGGAGAAGUCCACUGCAAUGGAGGAUAGCUUUGCAAGCUCAAGACAUUUGCUGCUCCUCGCCUUGUCAGGUUCUGAAUCUGCAUGCACGACGUGGGCAUUGCAAAUUAUGCCCAAGCUGUCAUUGACUAUGUAAUCGGCAAAGUAUUCCUCUACAUCCUGCAGCAUAGAAAUGUUAAGGGGCAAAAAAAGGAUCACGGCAGAUUAAAGAGAGAAAAACAAAUGAUGAGAAGUUUUUCAGGAUAAGAUGAUACGCUGCAAUGCCUUUGGCUCGAAGAAAUUAGAAAUGACAGAGUGUAAUUACAAAAGAAACUAAGCAAAUAGAAAGAGUUUAUUCAUGCAUAUGAAUGAAAUAAAUCUUAAAACAUUACUAGAAGAUUGAGCAAUACCUCGAUUGUCACGUCACGAUCCAAAACCUUUUCUGGUGCCGGAGUAUAAUCCAUUGGUCGAAACUGAAGUGGAGGAAUAAGUUCGUGGUCCCAGCAGACAAAGUACACGUCACCGUCCAGGUCACUUCCCGAGCAUUCAUUUGUAUGGGGUCUAACAAAUAAUGCAACCAUUGUCAGUUUACACAGGUAUAUAUCUGAGCAUUUAUCAAAACAGAACAAGUCGUAAAAAAAUGUUCCAAUAGAAUCUAUUGAAACUUUCAUUAAGAAUAAUCUAUUAUGAAUCAUACCAUAAGUCAUUCUUGGGGAAAACCAGAAAAAAAAAAAAGCUUACCUUUUUCCUUUUGCCGGGAAAACAACACAAUCCACCAUGUGAUGCAAAGCAGGUACGUCCACAGCCCUUAGCACACGCAUGUCUCCUGGGUGUAGACAUGGAUUUUUAGCAACAACCACCUUUCCCUCCACAACACUAAGUUCUCCUGACCGAUUGUUGCAGGAAUUAUCCAAAAACUCUCUUCUUCUAGAGGCAGAACAUUGAACAAAUACCUGACCAUAUUCUAAUGUGCCUGUUUCAUCAAGACAUCCCAUCAUUGCUCGUCCAUUCUGGAUAAAUAUCCUUGUUCUGGUUCUCAGCUCCAGCAGAUUUGAUGCGCGGAAUGUGUGUAGCAUCAUUGACAGAAACGGUUCUACAUCAGGCUUAUAACCACACAUAAGCAUUUCUUUCAAAACAUUUGUGUUCUCCCCUGAUGACAUCAGUUCCAGUGCCUCAUGUGCCUUCAAAGGAUCUGUUAAAAUGGCAUCUAAUUGCGCGACGCCCUCUCUCUGCUUCUUUUCAAAAACACGAUCUCUAAUGCCAAGAGUAGACAAAAGGGUUAUCAACUGGCGAUUAAGGAAACAGGGCUGAUACUUGCUAUUUGCCAAAAUGUCUAGACUUGUGCUUUCUGAUUUGUACUUGAGCAUACUCUUCCUCAAUGAUAACUUUGUUGAUGAAGUUGGAUCAACUGCUACAACACCUUUGUACCCACCAUAUCGAAUCUGAAAUGCAGAUGGAGUAUAAAUCGUGAAACCACAAUUUUUAGCCACAAUUUCGGCUAAUUCGGCAGAUAUUUUCCCUAUACCAUCCGAGAAACAAUAUGUAAUCCCAUCGUCCUCCACCUCUACAUCAGGAAUGAUUUCAAUAUCACUACUGUCAACAUGCAGUGCCUCUCUAGAUGAGCUGAAAGACUGACCAAGUCUAGCAGCAUACUUUGCAACAUUCUUUAUGUCGCGAAAAUCACCCAUUCUCUCUCUGAUAGAUGCUGCGGUAAGCUCAGGCCUGGAUGCAAACAUCCACAAAGAAUUAUCUUUCACUUGACUAUUUGAAAAUGCCAGAGUUUCAAACUUCUUAUCUCCAAUGACUAUCCCAUUUCUUAGAGUUGAGAGUACUCUUUCAUAAAUUCUUGUAUGCCUUUCUUCAUUGGUGGAAGAUGUCACAGGAGACAAAACUGUUGAGUACAACUUAUCCAAGUCCUCAUCAACAAAAGAAAGGCGAAGAAAGUUGUCAAUUUCAUCUGGAUAACUUCGUACCACACGAUUUGAUAGACUAAUCUCCGGACCAGAGAAAUAAACUUUAGAUGGGGUUACCAAAACCUUGUUUACAUAAAUCAACCCAUCAUCCAAGGCAACAGCAGGGGAUGUAAGAAAUCGCCUAGAUAAGACAUACUUCCUAUAUUGCUCUUCAAGCCAGCUUACAGGCUCAUAGCAGCAUUCUCUAAGGUGAAAUAGCGUCUCCAAAGCAUGUUCUAUGUAUUCCAUCCUGAUUCUACUCGGAUCCACCAAGCGAAAGAAUUUUGCAUCAAGUGCAGGCCCUGGAAUGCAGCCAUGUUGAACUAGAGAAUUGAUUUUGAACAAGAUUUUGAAUUGCAGUUUAAUGCCAUGAGGUGGACUGAUCAUCGGGACAAGAUCAGUAUUGCAAGAGAAUGCAGAGCCUGGUACUAGAGUGAACUGCACUGGACUUUCUUUGUAGUAGAAGAAAUCUUUCAGAGUUUUCGGAAUAUGAGCCCCUCUGGGAAGUUCCAAACACAUAGCAGAUGAUUGUCCAAUGCUUGAAGAUGGAGUAAAAUCAACUUCACGAAUCCAGUGGACAUCUUUCUCAUAAAUCUUAGGAGCACCAUGCAACUGGCAACAGAAAAAAAAGAAAACAAGCUUUUAGCUUAUGACAUUUGAAAGAUGUAAGCUGAUCGAUCAUACAUCACGGUAUUGAAGUUAUAGCUUUCUUGUAAGUGAUCAAUUUGCAAAAAGCUGCAUUUCUUGGUACAUGACAUGAAGUGAUUCUUAAAAAAAAAAAUCAGAUUAAUAAUUUGUAAUAAAGAAUACAAACCUGAAUGACAAGAUACUUAUCAGAGUGACGACUGGAACGGUGAAGCACAAUCUGCCAAAUGCUUUCAUAGGAGAGCUCAAGCUUAUAAUCUACAGAUGCACAAGACAGAAAGAACAUGAAUUUUCUGAGGUCCGAACACAGUUUCACAGAAACGUUUUCCUGCGACCAGAGCACAGAAAACUUGUCCUCGGAAAUUUGGCAUCCAAAAUUCAACUUCAGAUCAUCAUCCAACUUGGAAUACGGGCUCCUUCUCUUUGCAUCGGAAGCUUUUAGAUAAGAUUUCCCGUACCACAAAAGACGCCCAGCAGCCAACGACUUGAUUAGUUCCGCAGCUUCCACAGUUGUGAACUCAACUAUAGCAUGUGCUCUUGAACCUUCCUUUUGUCCAACUUCAACAUUAGAAACAGUUCCUUCACCGGUAUGUAGCUCCAGAAAUUCCUUCACAGCUUUGGAAGACACAAGUGAAGCAAAUCCAAACAAACUGAUCAUCUUAGCCAUUUCGUCAAUGCAAUUUCAACUGCAGUUUCAAUUGUGCAUUAUUGAAGUUAGCAACUCAUACAACACCAACUUACGCAAUCAAUUAACGAUAAAAGGCGACACAUGCUCAUACAGAAAUAUAUAACUAGGACAGAAAGCAAAUUCAAAACCAAAUACAAUAAGCAAAUGAGUUACCAGGAAACAGUGAUUACUCACGGAAGCUUGCAGCAAGCGAUGUCAAUGAACACUAAGUAGCUUUGUGAGAAACAAAUGGUGAUCAAGGAGGGAAUAUAUAGAGAGAAAAGCUCGUUAAUGCCUUCUUCUUGGUCUUCAGUUUUCAAUACUAGGAAACUUAUCAUAUAAGCUGACUUGACUAUGACCUUUGGGCCCCAUUGAUUGUGUAGCUGCUUAAGUUCGCCCAAACUCCCAUGUGACUGACACGUCUCGACAUCUCAUUGGUUGAAAUGUGCCAGAUGAAAUAGCUAGUUUUAAUUCAACACACAGGGUCACGCGGAGUUAGAAAAUGCCAUGUUGUGUCCAUAGUGUCUUCGUAAGAUUCUUCAGUUAAAGUCGUCAUUGGUUCAACGUUGACAUGAAUUGAUCCACUGUGAGAGUCUCCAGAGUUUCAUGCAAUAAACUGUCAAUCAUUUACGUACACAUCGUCAAGAUACUUUCUCUGUUGGGUUGUCGCACAAGAUUAUUGAUCAGUGAGCGAAGUUCUCGAAUGUUCCCGCCAUAUUUUAAUGAUUUGAUAAGAGAAUAAAGUGUGCAUGCAUUUAACUUCCAUACAAGGAACACAUAUUUUAAUGCUAGCAAAAGGCAAAAAGUGAUAAUGAAAAUUACUGUCCCUAGUAGCAUUACAGGGAAGGAGAAGGGAUCUGAGCUGCUCGAAGAAGGAUGAAUAAAGAGAUAGGUGCUUUUGAAAUAUUUCUGUUUUGCAUAAAGUUGUGGAAAGCGGAAACAAUAACGAAACUUGCAUGCCACGAAGAAAGACAGUACAUGUCAGUCAGGUUCCUAGAAGCUAAAGCUAUAUCCAAUAGGAGUAAUAGUCCUCGUUAUUCCAUACACUUUAUUAUGACACUUGCAUUUAGUUAUUCAUAUGCAAAUUAUAUUUCAUUAAACAAGUUGUGUCUCACUUCAUUUAGAUAUAAAAUAGUAGUUAAAAUAAGAUAUUGAAUAAGCUAAUUAAGCUAUCCAAUAAGAUUUCCGAUAAAAUUUGUAUAUUCUUAAAUGACUGUUAUUGCUUUAAUUUUUUUAUAUAGUUUUUUUUUUUAAGUGAAAACACUUUUACAACAUGAUUAGCAUUAAAUAUUUUCAGAAAUCCAAAUCUAAUCCACUAGGAAAGACAAUGACAAUCAGACUGGCAUGCCAUGAAGGUGGAAAGUGCAGUAAACUUAGAAAGACUAUCGACCCACCAUUCCACCAGGAGAAGCUCAAGGAAUAUAUAUACCUUUAUGUGUACUAAUGGAAUAUUAAGUUCCAUAAUGCCAUCAUUUUCUUGCUUUUUUUUUAAUGAAAAUCCACUACGAUGGUGGGGGGUUAGGCAGGGACCCCUACCUGUAAAUAAAUCAAUCAAUCAAUGAACAUAAAGAGGGGGAUAUAAACCAAAACCUUUCAAGAGAAGCAAAUGAUUUAGUGAUCAAUAAAAAACCAAUACAAAUCAAGGUGAUUAAUGUUGAAUACAUGGAAUUUCGAGAGUGUCCAAAUGAAGAAUGCCUGAUAAACCAAUUGGAAGGUCUCCAGGAUUGAAAAAUCGCUGACAAGUAUGAUGAGUACAAGCCUAGUUGGCCAUAAAGUCAGCAGCAGAUGCAGCUUCUCGAAAAACAUGCCUGAUAAUAAUAGAUGGGCUAGAAGCCAAUGCUCGAACACGCUCAAGGAGGUAAAUAAAAUCCCACUACACGAAUCCACUUGAAAUAGCCCAAGAAACCACUGUGGCUGAAUCAGAUUUCACCUCAAGAUCAAAAAAAUCAAGUUGAGCAGCAAGAUCUAAACUCUUUAAUAAAGCUAUCAAUUCAGCAAGAAGAAUAGAUUGGUGCCCCAAAAAGGAACCAAAGGCAGCUAAUACCACACCUUAAUGAUCUCACAAAACACCACCUAUAGCAACCAUACCUCAGUUUCCCCUAGAACAACCAUCCACACUCAACUUCACCACCCCCGACGGCGGUUUCAUUCAAGAAACCAAUCGAGGUGGUCUACAGGGAGGCAUGAUAAUCCACAACCCUCCCCAAUCUGAGUAUCCAAAAUAUCCCUCAACUGAGAUGGAUUGAAACCAAACGCGUCACUAGCUAGCCUAAUAUCCAGGAGCACUCUAAAAAUAACAUCUUCUGCAUUAAAGGCAACAGAAUCAUACUUAAGGGUGUUUCGAGCCUUCCAAACAUGCCAUAGAAUGAAGUAUGAGAGAAUGACUCGAAUAUGUUUUAAAGAACAGCAACACCGCCGCCAAUGACUAAGUAAAGCAUGGGGAGACAAAAAAGAGAGAUACGGACGACCAAUCAUUGAAUAAAACCGCGGCCAAACCUGUUGAACCAUUGGGCAAUCCAAAAGUAAGUGUCUGAUAGUCUCAACAUCCCGAUUACAAAGACACCGAGAAACCAUGUGCAAACCCCUCAAGCAAAAAGCAUCAUCCGUGGCCAAGAAACCAUGCAACACGCACCACAAGAAAAAAGAGACCCGUGAAAGAAUAUGUUGUUGCCAAAUUAAAGGAAAAACCUCAUUCUGGCUAUGAGACCCACCAAUAAAUUCCCAGCUAUUCCUUAGAGAAAAAUUCUCAUCCCUAGAUAAGGCCCAACAAAGUAUAUCUGGCUUUUGAUACAGCUUACGUUACGUUGACUGCAUUUUACCAAAGGUGCAGGGAAAUAAUUAUUAAGUGGGAGAAUUUGAUGUGUGCUGAAGGAUCAUGUGAAUUGGAUGUAUGGCCUUGUCUUAUAAAUUUGAUAAGUGAUGUGAUUUGUCAAAUGGCUUUUGGGAGCAGCUAUGAAGAAGGAAUUAUAAGGAUUUAUAUUGUCCAUUAAAGCCUCUAUUGGGACCAGUAAAAGGUCUUGGAGCAAAUCCUCUCAUAAGAUUAAAAUCAGGCCUAAAACCUCCUCUACCACCUCUGCCAUGAUACCUUUGAGGCACAAAGGCAGGAUUAAAUCUAUUCUUACAUUUAUUAGCUCCAUGUACAGGAAAAAGCAAAUUUAGGAAAUAACGGAAUCAAAAUUGCCACCCUCAUUGCUGUUUGAACCUGAAUUAAGUGUGUUGCUAUUAAAAAAAUUCCCUUUUUGAUUUCCAGAAACACCUUUAGGCAUCACUUGAUUUUUCUGAGCAAAAUUUGUAGUUAAAUUGUGCACAAUAUCAUAACUAAUCUUGCCUUUCUUCUGUUCAAUUCUCAUCUCAUGGCUUAAGAGCAAUGCAUACAAAUCAUCUACACUCAUACUUUCACCUCUGUCUAACAAACUUGUAACAAGUGACUUAUAUUCCUGAGACUAUAAACCAGUCAAAAUAUAAGUAACCAGAUCAGCAUGUUCAACUGGUUUACCAGCAAUAGCAAAUGUACCUGCCAAUCUCAUCAUCAUAGUAAAAUAUGCACAUAUAUUUAUUGAUCCUUUUAUAGCAGUUUGUAAUUGCAUCUUAAUAGACAUUAUACAAGCUUGAGUUUGAGAAACAAACAUACGUGUUAAGAAAUCCCACAGCUCUUGAGAUGAGACACAGUGAAUCACAAAGGAGAGCAAAUUUUCUUGAAUUGAAGACAUCAUCCAGCUAAGAAGAAGCUGAUCUGUUCUUAUCCAGGCUGAGAAAUGAGGAUUCUUAGUUCUUGAUCCAGAUCCAGUAUUAGAGGAGCUAGCCGCACUUUCAUCUUAAACAAGAUACUGAUCUGGACAUAUAUUUUCUCCAGUGAUAAAUCCUUCUAGGCCAUUAAUUGCCUUUAAUCGAAGUUAACACUUGAGUUCUCUAGAUGAUAAAAUUGUUUUGAUCUAGUUUCACAGGUGUCACAAAGUUAUAUAAAGUGUUUGUUUGAUUAGAAAGUGCUGAUGGCUCUGAUACCAUGAUUGAAUUCAGCUAAAUUGGUCUUUGGUUAUAAAGAAAAUGAAAUGGAAAGUGAAAGGAAAAUGUAUUUUAUUCAAUCAUAACAUCGAACACACAAUGUGUUCAGAUCUCACUAAUUAUAUUACAAGAUGGAUACAAGAAUCUCAUAGUUAGAUUGUUCUGGAAUCUUCAUGUAUAGUUAAAGGCUAUUGAAUCUGUUAUAUCCAACUUGCCAAGUCAUCAUAACUAAUUCUCAUCUGGUAUACUAAGCUACAUGCUAAACCACCAGCUUUAUCAUGUUCUUCUAUCAUACUCUGUAAACUCUGCAUAACACCAUAUCAGAAUCACUGCAUAGCAUCAUCAGCUCAACAUCACUGCACAAUAUCAUCAGCAUCAUCAGAUACUCUAACAUUCCUUAUCUAGCUGAUUGCUUGUUUUGUUUACGUACAACCCAAAAAAGUAAUAAACACCAACGAUGCGUGAUAACUGGUAGGAAUCUGUUAUCUCGCAGUCUCCCCUUUAUAUAGUGUCAGGGUGAAGUUGGAUACUUGAGAUUAUGAAUUUUUUGUAGCGUCAGUGUGCAGAGUGUAGUGUCCAAAAAAUUAUAUCUUUUUUUCUUUUGGUUGACUAGUUUUGCAUUCUUUAUGGUCUUUUGAAGCUCCACUACCCAAAAAAAAAAAAAACUGAUAAUAAAUUACAUUCAGUUUAUGAUCGGUUCCACCAAGUCAUAAAAAUAUGAUAAACUCCUAAUAGAAUUUUCGUCUAUCAAAAGAUUAAUGAUGGACUUAUGAUUGAAUUAUUAUUUAACAAAAAUAUAUGAUAGCACCGUGAUAAAAAUAUAUUUUUAUCCCUUAUAAUCCAUUAAAUGUAACUUUUCACUUACGGAUACAUACAAAUUGGACUAGUUUUGAUUUAUACAUAUUUUAUAAAUUUUAACUUAAUAUCAUCAAUUAAAAAUGUGAUUUUUUAAAUAAUGUUUUUUAUAAUAAAUAGUGAUAAGAUGAAGUACUAAAACUUUAUUAAGAUUGCGCAUGACAAUAGGAACUUAGGCAAAGAAUCAAAGUUUGAUUUUCCCCUAAUAGAAAUUUAUUUUGACCAUGUUUGACCAUAUUUUAAAUUGUAAAUUUAUUAAAAAACCAAAAUGGGCAUUCGCAAUCUAAUUCCCUCAUGUCAAAAAAUUGGAAAACCCUAAGCUGCCUAACUCUCUCUCCCUUGUCGUCGUUUCACCAACACACCCUCUCUCGUCAGUGUUUCGGCCUGUCAGUCGCCAGCCCACCACCAUUUUGAUUGUGCCGAUUGACAUGACAGACUCGCAGCUUCCAUCUUGUCGACAUCGUGGCUUCCAUCUCUUCGCCAUUGCAGUUUCCAUCUUGUCGGCGUUGCAGCUUCCAUCUUGUUGGGGUUGUGGCUUCCAUCUCAUUGGCGUUGCAGUUUCCAUCUCAUCUGCAUAGCUUCCAUCUUGUUGGCGUCGUCCCAUCUAACUCAUCGGUUUUGCAACUCCUUCACUUGAUGGUAAGUAGUAUCUUGACUCUUCACGGUUUCAGUGUGUAUAAUUUCUUAAAGCUAAUUAAAGAAAAAAUCUGUUGGUUUUGUGUAAAUUGGUGAUUGAAUAAUCAAAGUGAUAAAUUGUUGUUAAUGACUUAAUUUUUUUGACAUUGUUAAAUUAAUGUUAUUGUUAUUGGUACUCUUUUCAUUUUUCUGUUCUUAUUUGAUUGCCUUCGUAUUUUAACUUUAUAUGGGAAAAUUUGAUGUUUAGUGGGUGCCGUGAGUAAACUAGUGCAAUGUAUAUAUAUUUUUCUGUUAUUUUAGCUUUAGAAAUUGUUAUUUCAGCUUUAGAAAUUGAUUGCAAUGAUUUAGAAAAUAAGUUAAUUUUAUGUUAUAUUUGUAUGAUGAAAAAUAUAUAAUAUUUUUAUUAUUUUUAUUAAAUUUAUUAUUUAAAAAUCAUUUUUGUAACAAUUAUUAAUAUUUGUUGUAUAAUUACAAAUUUUUUCUAUAACAACUAUAGUUUAAAAAAUUACAGUACCUCAAUAUCCUCGAAAAAGUGAAAGUUUAUUUUUUUAAUCUUUUUUUUUACCUUUUUUCCAUUUUCAUUUUAGCAUUUAUUUUUCCCACAUUGUUUUAAUCCUUUAUAUAUUUUUGUUUUAAGAAAAAUACAUACAUAAAUACAUAUACAUAUAUUUGGAAGAGCGGAUAAAAGUAUAUAUGUAAUUUAUAUGUGACCUCACACUUUGAGUAUCUCACCACAAUAACUGUUUUAUCUGUAUGUGUAUAUAUAUAUAUUUUUCCUUAAAUGGUUGAGAAUCCAUAAUAAUGGGCGCCAAGCUAGUGGGAUUUAGUCGAGUGGGUUUCAAACAAUUUUAACUAGUCAACCAAAUUCAAUAACCCCAUUUUUUUGAAUCAACCUCAUUAAACUAAAAACUUUUUAUUUCUAGUAAAAACUUAAUUAAUUUAAUUAUAAAAAUAACGCUCUAUUCUGUAAAUUAAAUGAAAAACUGAUCAAAUCUCUGUUAAAGAUGCAGUUUAAUUACACUUUUUAUCUACAAAUUGAAAAAUUGCUACUUUUUUUUUUCGAAAUAUGGAAUUUCUAAAAUUGAAUUAAUUAAGUUACCGAGAUUCAAGGCAACUGGAGAUUGGCCAUCCGCAUAGCAAGCAUCAAAAACAACUUUCAACUUCUAAUAAUUAGAAACUCCAGCAACCUCCCGUCAUUCAAAUACAUGCCAGAUCCUCAAUAUCCUGCCACAAUGAUUAAAUAACUUUUCCCUUCCUCGCCCUUGUGAAUCAUUCAUUACUUACAAGCUAGGCACACAAAUUUGUACACCGAACCAAGAAUUGCUGUUUCAUUUUUUUUGCACAAUUAAAUGGGCCUAAUAAGAACUUUAACAUCAUGAAUCAAUCAAUAAAACUGAUCGUUCUGUUCCUUUUGUGGAUAUAAGCUAAUACAAGUUAGCCCAACCACGUUACAAGCUGUGUGCUGUGUUUCUUUGAUUCUGUUACUGUGAUUCUAUUGCUUUUGUUUCGUCAUCAUUUAAAUCUAAGCUUUGAUUCUUGUGCACUGAUCUAAGAUUACUUGUGAAGCAUCACGAUUGAUCAAGAUUGAAGGUCUUGGGCAGUGUCUUAAGUUUUUGGUUUCAUAAGUCACUACAGUUUUAUCUCUUCUUUGUCUAAUUGUAGAAAUUUAAGAGAUUUAAGCUAACUUAUAAAUGGAAUAAUUCCCUCCAUCUAGUAGACUACACUUUUUAGUUAGAUACUGAGAAAUCUUAAGCCCAACUCCCAAUAAGUGAUAUCAGAGUCAAACCCUAAUAGUCGGAAUAUGGUGGUGGACUAGCUCAAGUAUGUAGGAUGAAAGGAUUGGGGUCUGGUUAUAGUUUGGUCCAAUGGAAGAUUGUUAAAGGGGGAAUUGUAGAAAUCUAAGAGAUUUAAGCUACAGUUAUAAGUAGAAUAAUGCCUUCCAUCCAGUAAGCUAGUCUUUUUAGUUGGACACUUAAAAAUGUUAAGUCCAGCCCCAAUUAAUGGUAUCAGAGCCAAUGGAAUAGCUCACGUAUGGAGGACGAAAGGACUGAGUUUGGUGGUAGUUUAGUCCAAGAGAAGAUUGUUGAGUUGUGUCCCAAUAUUGGUUUGGAUACCUAGAAUGUAAAAGUGGAGUAGCUCAAGUGUGUCAGACGAAAAAACUGGGUUCCAGUGGUUGUUUCGUCCAAGGAGAUUAUUGAGUUGUAUCCUACAUUAACUAGUAAAAGACAGUUAAUUAGAUUUAUAAGUAUGAUAGGUGCCUAGUUAGUAAAAGGAAGUUACUUAGAUUUAUAAGUAAAAUAGGUGCCAUCACCUAAUAGACAAUUAUUUUGGGAUGGACACCUAAAAAUCCUAAGCUUAACCCCCAAUAUUGAGGUUUUUUCUAGGGAAAAAUAAAUCAUCUUAAGAAGAACCAUAGGAAGUCUUUGAAUCAAACAAAGAACCGAUGUUCCAGCUACUUCUUUAUCUAGUCGGAGAGGAUGUUUUGGGUGGGGGGGAGGUCUUAAGAAGAACCAUAGAUGGCCUUUGAAUGAAACAAAAAGCCAAUGUUCUGGGUAGUACUUUAUCCAGUCGGAGAGAUGUAAAUGUGACUGCAAUAUUCCAUUCUGUUGAGAUCGACCGUACCAAAAAUAAAAAAAAUCUUAAAACAUGUAUCAGAGGCGUAAAGUGAAAAUAGGCAUCCAUCUAAGCUAGCCUUUGUCAACGACACAAUUAUAGAUAUAUGUAUCGUACUCGAAUUUUCUUAAAAUUUGUAUUUUAAUUUGAUAAUUAUAGCUUAAACAGUAUCAAAGUUUUUAAUAAAUACUUAUUGCAAUAAUUUAAAAAAUAAGUUAAUUUUAUGUUAUAUUUGUAUGAUGAAAAAUAUAUAACAUCUUUUUAUUUUUAUCAAACUUAUUAUUUAAAAAUUAUUUUUAUAACAAUUAUUAAUAUUUAUUUUAUAAUUACAAUUUUUUUCUAUAACAGCUAUAGUUUAAAAAAUUACAGUACCUAAUAUCCUCCAAAAAGUGAGUUUAUUUUUAUCUAUUUUUUAAUGCCGACUUCAAUUUAUACUUUAAGUUUGAUAUAUUGCAUUACAUUAUGAACUUUGAUUGUACAUUUAAACUUUUGACUUUGGUUGUAUUGUAUGUGGUAUAUAUAUAUUAAAAAUUUUAAUUUAAUCUAAUCUUUUUUAUUAAAAAAAAUUAAAAUUACUAUGUAAGGACUUAUCAUUCAAUUAAAAUAUAGCAUUAACAAAUGAUGUUGUACUCCCGGAACAGAAGCACCUAAGACUUCCUAAUCAAACCCUAUCUAAUAAUAACAAGUAGAACAUAAAAUAUGAAAUUAUCAGUACUUAAAACGUCACUUCAGACCAACUAGCAAUUUGGUCAUUUACUAUCAGAUCAAUAAGGAUGGCAAUGAGACGAGUUCGGGGUGGAAAUUAUGGUCUCUGCCCCAUUCCUGAAUUAGAAGUAAUUCCUGAACCGACCUCGUACCAGCAAAUUUAUAUUUGGGAAUAAUUUGGGGAUAUUCUUGAUAACUCCUGAAUGGGACGAGGAUUAAAAUGGAGACCCAAUCCUCAAUUUUUUAAUAUUUUAUUUUUUUAAAAUACUAAUUAUACUAUAGUUAAAAUUUUAAAAACAUAAUAUUUUUACCGUUACUUGCAUCUUUUAUUGAUGUUCUUAUGAACCAAACAAAAAGUUUGUUAAUUUACUGAAGGAUCAUGUGAGCUGGAUAUAGGGCGGUAAUGAGUUGGUUUGUAUUGAGUUUUAGAUCAACCCAUAUUAAAUAAAAAAAUGUCUAGAUUCAAUCCAAACAAAUUUAAAUAUUUUCUUAGCUUAAUCCAAGUUAACUUAUUUAAGUUUGGUUUGAAUUUUACUAUCAAAAUAUCUUUUGUUUUGAUAAAUUAAUUUAUAUCAAAAUUGUAAUAAUUAUUAAUUAUUAUACAUAUUAAUUAUUAAAUAAAUAUUAAAAUAUGAAACAUAUAUUGUGGAUAAAGUUAUUAUAAAAAAUAAAUUUUACAAUAACUUCAUCCGCAAAUCAAAUAAUACUAGAAAAAUAAAAUAAAGUUGAAUAAAGAAAAUUUUUAUUCUUAAUAAAUGAGAACGUAAACUCUAACAAUAAACUUAUACAAAUAUGACAUUAACAAGUUAAUUGAAAAAAGAAAAUAAAAAUUAUUAACCCAUUAUAACACAAAACUCUAACAAAUUCCAUAUAACUAAAAACAAGACAAGACAACCCAUCAUAAUCAUUCCUAUCAACAAUACUUUCAUUAAGAGCUUCCAGGUCAAUUGAGUGUGCUCCUUCACUAACAAAUAAAAUAACAAAAAAAAAAUAUAAUGUUGAAUAGUUACAAAGAAAAGAGUAAAUUUGGAAAAGAACAUGCUUCAUUCACCAAAAUUAUUAGAAUAACAUCAAUUCAAAGUUAUUACCUUUGUUGUUACACUUAAUCUAGACUCUACAUUAAAUAAAAACAAAUUAGUAAAAAAGACUAGUGAUAAACAAAUAUGUAAAUACUUUUUCUUAUUAUGAUGAACAUUUACCUAGCAUCUUGCUUUGAGUAAGUUUCUAAGGAAUAAGUAUCAUGACAACUUUGAGUUCUCAUCCAUCUAAAAUUAAUUGAAAAAAAGAAUCAUAUAACUUUGGGCCAAUAACUUUAAUGUAAUAAUUAAAGAUUUUGAUAAAUAAAACAACUAUAAUUGAAAUUUUUUGAUUUUGCAUUUCGUGCAAGAGAAAUUAUAUAUGGUUUUAGAUGCCCGAAAUUUCAAGUUUGGAGCGAGAAUUUGACAUUACUAAUUGAUAAAUUAGCUACUAAGUUCUUGAGGAUGAAGUAAUCUAAUAGUGGUAUUGUAUAAUCUAAGAGCAAAAAUAAAACGAACAUUUAAAUCGAAUAAUGACAUUUAAAUUAUAUCAAGCACAAGCGAAAAAAAGAGAAAAAAAUUAAUUUGGUAGGAUCACAUAAAUAAUUUCAUCACUUGUUGCCUUCUCAGUUCUCACUUUCUAAUUAAUUAAUCUUAAAAAAAAUCAUAUAGCUCAACAAAUCUCAAACCAGAAUCAAAACCUUUCAAAAGGAACAAAUAUUGCGAUUGAAUCACCAAGCAAACAACUUCAAUUAACUAAAUCCACUAAUUCCAAGCAUACCCAUUAGACAAAUCAUUUAAAACAAUUAAAAAAAAAAUGCUAUUCAUUCAAAUUAAGCUUUACCCAUUAAACACAAAUGCAAGAGCACCUCAUAAAUUAAACCAUCAGUCUCUUCUAAAGCUAAAGUCUUGGAGGACCACUGCACAGUAACCAAAGAAAAAAAAAGUUGAAGCUUUUGUAGCAGAAACAGAACCUCACCUUAGAUCAACAAAAAGGUUGUAAUCGAACUUGGGGGCUCUCAAGAUUCUAUAAUUUCAGUUGAGGACAAAAAACAAACAAACGCUGUUUGGGAAGUUCUGUGUCAUGGUUUUAGAUCUAAGUUAGUUUCCAUCGACGAUUGGCGCUGUCGAGAGAGAAGAGAGGCUACUGAUGUCGACAAUCGGCACAGCCGCUGCGGCAAUGUCGAGUUUUUGGUUUGGAUUUUGAGUGAAUUUUUAAAGGGGUUAACCAAACCCAAACCAUACUUCUACUAUUUGCUCAACGCCAACCAUUUAAUUUAGCUUGGGCAUCCAGUUGGAUGUAUGGCCUUAUCAUGUAAAUUCGACAAGUGAUGUGAUUUCUCGAACGACGUUUUGGAGCAACUAUGAAAAAGGAAUAAGGAUUUUCGUACUCCAAAUAGAACUAUCUAAUCUCCCCUUGCAAGCUUUGCAGUUAUUUGAAUUAACAAGGUGUUUGGAACGAAAGAAAGUGAAAGAAAAUUUAGAAAGAAAAUUUGACUAAGAAGAUUCUGGAACAAUCACAAAUCUAAUUGAUGAAAACUGAUGAAAUCAUUCUUUGUAAACGAGCUAAUCACUAUUUACAAAAACAGAGCUCAAAACUGCAAUGUUAACAACUAAUUAACCUUCCAAUCGUAUUAAGCCGGCUGGACUAUUAGCUACAACUUAUUCAGUGCAAAUAACAACCCACUCUAGCUCAGCAACUUUUUACACAUCAUCAGCCAGCUCAGCUUACACUCUUAACAAUAGUUGGUUUACAUUCCAAGAUAGAGAUGCAAGAACUAAUCUCUAGUUAAUUUGAAAAGGAUGAUAAGUUAAAGCUUUGGUAAGGAUAUCGGCUGAGUUAUGAGAACUGGGAACAUAGGUGACUUGAAAACUAUUAUUAGCAACCUUUUCUGACAAGAAAUGAACAUCAAGUUCUAUGUGUUUAGUUUGAGAAUGGAAUUUAGGAUUACUUGCUAAGGCAGCUGCACUCUGGUUAUUACACCAAAUGACAGGAGUAGAGGCGAGGGAAAUGUCAAUUUCAAUCAACAAUUACUUGAGCCACAAAAUUGUUAACAUGUGGAUGUUCAUUAUAUUGAUUUUGAUGAUAACAAACUUUAAAUAUUUUUUAUUAAAAUGAUGGAGUUUUUCAUUAAACGAUUUCUCAAAAGCCGUAUAAUCUUUCUAAAUGUGUUCAUAAAAUCAUUCCUUGUGAAAUUUCAUUAAAACUGUGAUGCUGGAAGUAAACAGUGAACCGUUAACUUUGAAACGAUUAAUCGAUAAUUUCCAAAGAGGAAGAAAUCCUUAAGUUUCAACCAUUUAGUAAAAACGGAUAAGGCAAAUGAGAUUUGUAGAUUACUGGAAUUAAAUGGCGAACCAUUAACUUCAAACGACUAACCGAUAAUUUCCAGAACAUCAUUCCAUGCUAACCUUCAACCGUUUAGCAAGAACAUAUAGCAGGAAUUUGUUUUGCAAGUCUCUGGAAAUUAAUGGCAAAUUGAUAGUGACAAAUUGUCAACCGUUUAUUUGAAAUUUCAGCUUAACGGACACUUAGACCAGUCAAAACGGUUAAUCGAUAACGGUUAACGGCAAUCCGAUUUUGAGCAAAAAGUCAACAAUAACUAUUUUUCAACUCCAACCAUAAAUAAGCUCAAUCAAAUGCAAACAAGAGUUGAUCACAAUAUUAUCAAUGAGCUUAUAAUCGAGAAUACAAUAUUCAUUGAGCUUCAAAUUCAUUUUUGUUCAUUUAUUCACACAUUAAGCAUUAAUUUGUAAUCUUAUAUAUUGUGUGAGAUCAAAACAAAUUUGUAAUAUUUGUUUUGAGUGAUUGUAAGUGUUGGAAUACACUUGGGUUAAGAGAUUGAUGAUAAUCUCUGGAUGUAAAGGUUGAUUGACACCUAAGAAGUCAAUUGUAAGUGUUCUUGAAGUCUUGAAGGCUUGACUAAUGGAAUCCUUAAGCUUGGUGUGCUCGGAGGCGUGGUCGUAGGCAAGGUUGGCCGAACCACAUAAAAAUUUCUAUGUUUGAAUCUCUCUUCCCUUAUCUUUUUAUAUUUGGUUGAUUUAUUCAUUAUUGUUUUAAAUUCAUUUAAGAUUUGCAUUAAAUUUUGUUUAAGAAUUGCUUUUUUUAUAGAAACCCAAUUCACCCCCCUUUUGAGUUUCUUAGAUAUUAUUUCAAAAACUUCAGAGGCAGCCAUUGUUAAAGCUCUAUAUUUUGAUUCAGUACUUGGCCUAGACACCACUCCUUGUUUCUUUGAACACCAAGAGAUUAGAUUUGGACCAAAGUAAACACAGUAUCCAACAAUUGAUUUUAUGUCAUCUUUGUCAGCUGCCCAAUCUGCAUCACUGAAACAAUCUAUGUGCAAGAGACCUUGAUUAGAGUAUUGUAACCCCAUAUGCAUUAUACCCUUAAGAUAUCUAAGAAUCCUUUUACAUGAUUGCCAGUGAUUGAUGGUUGGAGCAGCCAAAAAUUGGCUAAGUUUAUUUACUGGAAAUGCUUUAAGGUCUGGUUAAGGUAGUAUACUGAAGAGCUUCAAUUGUGCUUCUAUACAAAGUUGCAUCAGCAAAUGGUUCAUUGUUAGUUUUGGUAAGAGGAGCAUUUGCAGCCAUUGGAGUUGAGCAAGGAGUUCAAUCUUGCAUUUUGACUUUGUUGAAUAGAUUAGCUAUAUACUUUGACUGAGAGAGAUGCAAACUUGUUUUAGUUUUUGUGACUUAAAUACCAAGAAAAUAAUGUAGUUCUCCAAGGUCUUUCAGAGCAAAUGUAGUCUGUAGAUUGUCAAUAACUUGCUGAAUCUGAGUAGAAUCUGAACCCAUAAUAUCAUCAACAUAGACUAAUACCAGCAAAAGAUGACUUUGAACUCUCUGAAAAAAUAAAGAAGUAUCUGACUUGGAAUUCUUGAAACCCCAUUGUUUAAUCAACAUUGUUUUUAGUCUUUUAAACCAAGCUCUAGGAGCUUGUUUAAGACCAUACAAUGCCUUUUGAAGUUUACAGAUGUGUGUAGGUUUUGACUGAUACACAAAGCCUUCUGGUUGUUGCAUAUACACUUCUUUAGUAAGGUAACCAUUGAGAAAGGCAUUGUUAAUGUCAACUUGUCUCAGUGACCAGUGAUUUAGAACAGCCAAACUAAGAAUAAAUUUAACUGUAGAAACCUUCACCACUAGACUAAAGGUCUCAUUGUAAUCAAUGCCUUGAGUUUGAUGAAAACCCUUUACUACAAGUCUGGUUUUAUACCUUGAAAUGCUACCAUCGACAUUGUAUUUAAUUCUAAAUACCCACUUGUUGCCUACUACUUUGACAAGGUAUGUAGGUUGAACAAGUGUCCAAGUUUGAUUAUCAACUAAGGCUUGAUAUUAUUCUCUCAUUGCCUGAAGCCACUUUGGAUCAUUUAGAGCAGUUGAAAAUGUAAAUGGUUCUGUUGGUUUAGGAUCACAUUCAACUAGAUAGGCCUUUUAGGUUUGAAUAUCCCUAUUUUGGAUCGGGUGAUCAUAGGAUGUCCAACAAUAGGUUGAGGAGGUGGAGAUAGUUGAUGAAUAAGUGAUUACUGAUUUAUGGGACUAGGAGUAUGGGAUGGGAAGUGAUUUUCAGAGGAGGAUAAAUUUGAAUUUGAAGAAGCUGGAUUGGAGGGCAACUCAAUUGCUGAAGGUGAAGAUUGAGAGGAAGAUCUAUCAAGCUUUGCAGCAAUCUGUGAUAAAGUAAAUGAGAUAAAAAGGAUUAACAGAAGGUCUAUCAAGCUACUGCCUCUUUAGCUCGCCAUUCUGUAGCUAGGGUAUUAGUGGAGUAUGAUGUCACUCAACCUCUGUUGCCACAAAUACGAAUCAGUGUGGGUGUAACACCAAAAAUUUCAUAAUAUUAAAUCAUGGAAAUUGGGCGUUCAUUAGGAAUCAUGCGUGGCCUUAUAACCCUUAUUAGAAAGGGAUAUUAAAUUAUAAAUAGGGGUUAUUUAUGAGAUAAUUUUUGGAAAAGGGUUAUUUUUCCAAAUUCAAUAAGGUUUCUUAAGACUCCCUAUAAAUUCAUAUUUUUUCCUUCCAUAACUCUAAACCCACAACAUUUCUUCUUCUUCUCUAUUGCUCAUUACGCUCUUACCCAAACUCUAGGAUUCAAACCUUUAUUUAAGAGAGAAUCAAAGCGAUUGGUAAGUUUAUUCUCUUUAUUCUCCACAAGUUUUUCAAUCACUCUAUCUAGGGUUUCAAUAUGCAUGAUUUUAGAUUGUUAUAGAUCAUAAUGCAUGAUUUAGGAUGUGUUAGGCUUUGUUUAGGGCUCCGAUUUAUUAUGAGUCUAGUUAAUUAAUCCUUGAUGCAUUAAGCGCCCAGGAUAAUUCUGGACAGCGUGAGUACCUCGAAUUUAAACCUGUAUUUUCUGAAUGAUUUUUCUUAAGAAAUUUAUAUUUCUGGAAAAAAUUCUGAGAAUCAGACUUGUACGAGUAUGAAUUAGAAAAACCAGAUUCUUAGAAUAAGUUAUUAAUUAUCAUAUCUUGUAUGUGUUUAAGGUGUUGGAGGUGAUUGAGGCUCUUAGAGGCUUAGAGGUGUGUUAAUUCAAAUUCUUUUGUCGAGGUAAGUAACUUCAUUCUUAAUGUACUGGAUAUAUAUAUAUGAUUAUUUUGAUAUUAUUAUAAGUAUAAAUGUUUUUAUACUAUUUAAAGGAUUAAUUGAUUUUGAUAACAAAAUUAGUUUAUGUAAAUGUUUUCGAACCUAAAUUCUUUCUAACAAAAUAUUUUAUAAAUGCUUUUUAAGUAUGUAAGUUAUUUCGUUACAUAACUACCUUUUAUGAUAUUGUCUUUAAAAUAUUAUGCAAGCCUAAAUUGUUGUUAUGAAUAUUUAUAAAAUUGAUACGAAUGUUUUGCGCCCACUUAUGAUUUUAAUUAUUUAUGAUUGUAUGGGGGCCACCUCUUGAGGGUCAAAGCGCCGCAAAGUGCCACAUAUGGUGCAAAGUGCCACGUAUAAGUCAUUAUGUAUGAAACACUGAUUUGAAUGUUUUGGCUCAUUAUCCGUAGUUAUUCUGAUUUUGAUUUUGAUUUUGAUCAUAUUAUACGACAUAUAUGUUCUGGACCAAUACUGUGUUUCUGUUCUGAGUGUGCAUAUGAUAUUCUGAUUCUGAUUCUGAUUCUGUUUCUGGCCGGGUCACCGGGACUAUAGGUGACACUAUGUGACAUGAGCUAACCUUUUGUUUUCUGUGAAUGUGAUAUAUGAUUUGCUUUCAUAAGUAACUAUGCUUUUGAUAUUUUGAAUUACUAUGAAUUUAUGUUAUUCUAUCAUGAUAUAUCGUUUUAUGAAAUUUAUGAAUUAUGAUAUAUGUUUUUAAAUAAAAGAAGGCUUGCAAUAUUUUUGGUAUCGAUAGGCCUAGUGUGUUAGGAAUGGUUUUACUUAUCGCGUUGAUGGCUCACCCAUCGUCAUUACUUUUUGCAUAUUAAGUUUCUUUUGAGAAGAGUGCUUAGCUUUGGAGUUAGAGAUUUCGUGUAUAUCUGCUAGUUGAAUAGGAGGAGGAAUAAACUCAUAUUUCUCUUAAUUUUAUUUUUGUUAUGAACUUGUAAUUUGAGAGUUUUAAGACUUUUGUCAUAUUUAUGUCUUGGAGAGAGAAUGAUUAAUAUUAGACAUAUGGAUUUGUGGAUUUUAUUGAAUAAAAUUUAAGGUAUUUCGGUUUGAGAUUUUUGGCAUAAGGAUUUGAAUUUGUAAGUAACCUCAUUCUGCACGUGUUAGAUUUGGGGUGUUACAGUGGGAGAUUCUGGAUUUUGGCAGAGUGUAAUUUUUUAGAAAACGCCACUCUACUGUGCUUCUUACAAGCACCUUGGUCAUACCAUUGAGACAUGUUACGUGGCCAAUUCGAAGCUCUAUCUCCAGCGACCCAGUUGGAACUGGCAGACUAUAGUAGAAAAUAGUAAGAAGUCAGAAGUUCUGCCGUUAGAAACUCCACAACCCUCAAAUACUCCACGACCUGAGCCUUCCAUCACUAAACAGAUUGCGGAUGCGGGGUCUCCGAUUACCAAUGUCUUACCUACAGAGAACCGAGCUAACGUUACAAAUUCUACUUCCGUUCAAGAGCCGAUUUCCCAGGAUGCCACAACUUAUAAUUCUAGGGUUUGAAAACCUCGGGAUCAAAGCCCUUUUCCCCUGCGGAGCAUUGGUGACUAUAAUUAAUCCACAUCAUCAACGAGCAUCCAAGACAGAUUUUAGGCAUUACAAUUCUCAUACUGAUAAUAAUGAUAGUUCUGGCGAGCACCUGGCGAAUAAUGACCACUUUUUGUAUGCUCCUGAGAAUUUUGAGAGAAUUGACUUUAGCCUUGAUUUUAGUGUUGCCAGUCAACAUUCGAAAAGGGGCAUUAAAUUACUUGCCAGCCGCAAGUAUCGUAAGAAAUAUUAUAACCAUCUGCAUUAGUCAUUUUUAUUAUGCUUUUUACCUUAGGCUAUGCCUUAAUCAUUUCUUUUACUAUUGUAUUUAUUUCUCUUGAUUGGAGGGUUUGGUUUAUGUCUCCUGGCAACGGCGCCAAAAUUUGAUGGUUGUCGAAGCCAACAAAAAUAAAUUCAUACUCUAAAUAAAUUGUAUAUAGUGAUUGAGCAGGGUCGUGUCCACAGAGAUCGGUAAUUAUUUAAAUCCUUUUAAAACAUAAAACAUAAAAUGGGGGUUUUGUUGACAAUAAUAAAAAUCAAAUUAAAAUAACAAGAAUGCAAAUUAAAGUUGUAAUUCAAAUUGGAGAAAGCUCUGGUUGAAGAAAUUAAUUCAGCUUGAUUCGACUACUGAUCAUUGAUUCAAAUAUAGAUUAUUAUUACUUAUGAAUAGACCGGUUAUAGCUACUGAGAUCCUCUAAUAGCCAAUCUCUCCUUAAUUAGUCGAUAACCAAGGUACGACCAUUGGCUAUUUCCCUAAUCAAUAGACAACCCUAGAUACGAUCAUAAGAUUUAAUCAAUUGAUAGCCUGAAAAACUAGAGAGACCCAAAUCCUAAUCAACACAUACGAUGAUUCAUUUAAAUUAGAUUGUUUAUUCUCAUAACACAACUCACUCCUAUGUUAUUUGUCACAAACAUUAAAAUCUUCAUACGAUGAAUCCUUUAAUUAACAAUAGAUUAAGUUGAUAAUUAAAUAGUGGCCAAUUACCUAAUUAACAAACAUAAUCAUGAAAAUAAUUCAGAGAAUAAACAAAUACCCAAAAAGCAAUAAAACAAUUAAAGCAUAAAAUAGAUCUCACAGUAGUGAUGAAUCAAAGCUUCAUUAUCAUUCAACCAGAAAAAUAGGUUUAAUUCUUCAUAGAGAGAAGAGAAAAGUUUAGAUCUAGGGUUUAUUUCUCUUCUCCAAAAAGUCCUUUUUUUCACAAUAGAUUCCUCCCUUAAAUACUCUCUCUCUCUUCUCCUUUAGAGUUCUAUUUAAAAUAAAAUACUAAUAUCUGAAAUAUUAAAUUUGUAAUUACAAAAAUAACCAAAAAUACAAAACACGUUAAACUAAAAACUGCAGGUCUGUAGUUGACAGCACGCGCCCACGCCUUAUCAACAAAGUUCUUCUGACGCUCAUAAUUUCUCCAAGAGAACAAUCAUCUUUAAACAUCAUCUUAUAACUCAAUUUUAUCACAAAUCAAUAGAAUUGCACCUACAAAAGUAAAACACAAGUAAAUCAUUAUUAUUAAGUGCAAAACAUCGAUAUUAAGGGAAGUAAACAAUGCAAAACUAGUGCAUAAAUUGCACUCUAACACAUAGGGUCACGCGGAGUUAGAAAAUGUCAUGAUGUGUCCAUAGUGUCUUCGUAAGAUUCUUCAGUUGACGUCGUCAUUGGUUCAACGUUGACAUGAAUUGAUCCACUGUGAGAGUCUCCAUAGUUUCAUGCAAUAAACAAUCAAUCAUUUGCGUACACAUCAUCAAGAGACUUUCUCUGUUGUGUGGUGGCACAAGAUUAUUGAGCAGCAAGCGAAGUUCUCGAAUGUUCCCGCCAUAUUUUAAUGGUUUGAUAAGAGAACAAAGUGUGCAUGCAUUUAACUUUCAUACAAGAAACACAUAUUUUAAGGCUAGCAUGAUAGGGAAGGAGAAGGGAUCUGAGCUACUCGAAGAAGGAUGAAUAAAGAGAUAUGUACAUUUGAAAUAUUUCUGUUUUGCAUAAAGUUGUGGAGAGUGUUGUGUCUCCCUUCAUUGAGAUAUAAUAUAGCAGUUAACAUAAGAUAUUGAAUAAGCUAAUUAAGCUAUCCAAUAAGAUUUACGACAAAAUUUGUAUAUCUUUAAAUGACUGUUAUUGCUUUAGUUUUUUUUAUACAUAUACAUACACACACAUAUAUAUAUAUAUUAAGUGAAAACACUUUUACAACAUGAUUAGAAUUAAAUAUUUUCAGAAAUCCAAAUCUAAUCCACUAGGAAAGAUAAUGACAAUCAGACUGCCAAGCCAUGAAGGUGAAAAGUGCACUAAACUUAGAAAGACUAUCGACCCACCGUUCCACCAAGAGAAGCUCUACCUUUAUGUGUACUAAUGGAAUAUUAAGUUCCAUAAUGCCAUCAUUUUCUUGCUUUUGAUAGAGCUUAUGUUGCCUGCGUUUUACCAAAGUUGCAGGGAAAUAAUUACCAAGUGGGAGAAUCUGAUGUGUACUGAAGGAUCAGGUGAGUUGGAUGUAUGGCCUUAUCUUGUAAAUUUGAUAAGUGAUGUGAUUUGUCGAAUGGCUUUUGGGAGCAACUAAGAAGAAUGAACCAAUCCCAAACAGAACUAGCUGAUCUGGCCUUACAAGCUUUACAGUCAGUUUACAUUCAAGGAUAUAUGGAGGUGUAAAAAAUAAUCUCUGGCUGAUUUGAAAACAUGUGCAUCAAUCAUAAAGUUGAAAUUUACUUAUGACGAUAGUAAGUAUUAGUCUCCUAUUUCCUUAGUCUUUUUUAUUUUCAUUUCUAUAAAUGUUUUUAGAAAAAUGAACUUUAUUAAGUGCAAUUUCCGUUGUUAUUGUUGUAAAGACUGAAUUUGCAUAUUUUGUAGAGUGCAGACUUGUGCACUUAAGAAAAACGGUUUCUUGUUAAUCUCAUUUUAGUAAAUUUUUACUGCUUAUAUAUAGAUAUGUCCCUACUAAGAGAAACAGGACAAUGAUGGACCUUGACAAGGAAAUCCGCUCUUAGAAAUAAUGAAAACAGGGGAAGCUAAAAAGGAUGACUUAUUAGGUUUGCUUAUGGAAUCAAAUUUUAGAGAAAUUAAAGAACAUCGAAACAACAGACUUAAAGGGAUCAGUAGGGACGAUGUUAUCUGUGGCUAAGAAUGUAAGCUAUUUAACUUUGCUGGACAAGAGGAUACUUCAGUUUUGCUUCUUGGCACAAUGGUUUUGCAAGUCUUUGGUGAUAUGAAAGUUGAAAACUGACUUCGAUGGAUUGAAUCACCUCAAAAUCGUAAGUAUAUACAACUCUAGGAUUUCAUUGUGAUCAAUAUUUUCAUCACACAAUUAUGUAUCUGUUAGGAUAAUAAUCUAAUAUUUAUUUAGAUACCACUCCCAAUGAUAUUUUUAAUAUGUAUGGAUAUCAUAAAUCGUAACAUUCUUUAUCCAUGCAUCUGUGAAUUCCAAGUAAUCACACAACAAACCAUAUUUUUAUUUUAUUACAGAAACUAAAAACAAGUUUCAAAUUCAAGUACAGAUCACACCACACUUGCAUCUCACAGCAACAACAACAACUGCAGCAGCAACAGCAACAACAACAAGAAGGUAAAGAAGCCGUCACACAAGCUGCUUAUUUAAAAAAUAAUUGCACACACUUAACUAUUUUAAUGUCAAAUCGCUCCACCAACUAAGAGCACAAUCCAUGUCUGGAAUGGCACUCCCUAGCGAUGAAAAUUUUCAAGGCCUGGCCUUUAGGAGCUCUGUUUUCCCCUUUUGAUCUCAAUCAGCUUGUCAUGGAUGCACCACGGGAAGCUGAGAAAAUGGUCUCGAUUCAUUCCUUCUCGUUUAUACCGACCCCAGUAACUUGGAUGGUAAGUCACAUGGUACCAAGCUGAAGCUUUUGCGUAUACAGCUUCAUGGCUAGAAUCUGACUCAUUCUUCUUCUUGUUGAACCAGGUCCUGGCUUCUUUUCUUAAUGACCUUACAGCAAAAGUGAUUGCUUCCAAGUCUCUUUUCUUAUCAAAGGACUUUGCCAUUUCCAUGAUGCACCCACUCAGUAUUUCAGCCUCAGUUUUGAUCCCAUAAUAAUCCAUCAAGUUCCCCAACUUGAUAUCAUACUCAGUUUUGUAGUUGAAAGCAUCGAUGAUGUAGUGCUUAAAGCCAUCAACUUCCAUAUCAGUAUCAUAGGACUGCAUUGCCACUUCCUUAGUAAAGGAUUUCAUAGUGGCUGUUGAUGGUGCAAUGCCUUUUACCUCUCGAUAAAGCUUCCCAAUGACACGCUGCGAUUCAUAGCAGGUUUUGUUUUGCUUCUCCAUAAAGUCUGGAUAUUUCUUGACACGUAGUCCACUGGGUAUUGUGGCUGCGACUCCAGUUUUGGAGAAGUCCACUGCAAUGGAGGAUAGCUUUGCAAGCUCAAGACAUUUGCUGCUCCUCGCCUUGUCAGGUUCUGAAUCUGCAUGCACGACGUGGGCAUUGCAAAUUAUGCCCAAGCUGUCAUUGACUAUGUAAUCGGCAAAGUAUUCCUCUACAUCCUGCAGCAUAGAAAUGUUAAGGGGCAAAAAAAGGAUCACGGCAGAUUAAAGAGAGAAAAACAAAUGAUGAGAAGUUUUUCAGGAUAAGAUGAUACGCUGCAAUGCCUUUGGCUCGAAGAAAUUAGAAAUGACAGAGUGUAAUUACAAAAGAAACUAAGCAAAUAGAAGAGUUUAUUCAUGCAUAUGAAUGAAAUAAAUCUUAAAACAUUACUAGAAGAUUGAGCAAUACCUCGAUUGUCACGUCACGAUCCAAAACCUUUUCUGGUGCCGGAGUAUAAUCCAUUGGUCGAAACUGAAGUGGAGGAAUAAGUUCGUGGUCCCAGCAGACAAAGUACACGUCACCGUCCAGGUCACUUCCCGAGCAUUCAUUUGUAUGGGGUCUAACAAAUAAUGCAACCAUUGUCAGUUUACACAGGUAUAUAUCUGAGCAUUUAUCAAAACAGAACAAGUCGUAAAAAAAUGUUCCAAUAGAAUCUAUUGAAACUUUCAUUAAGAAUAAUCUAUUAUGAAUCAUACCAUAAGUCAUUCUUGGGGAAAACCAGAAAAAAAAAAAAGCUUACCUUUUUCCUUUUGCCGGGAAAACAACACAAUCCACCAUGUGAUGCAAAGCAGGUACGUCCACAGCCCUUAGCACACGCAUGUCUCCUGGGUGUAGACAUGGAUUUUUAGCAACAACCACCUUUCCCUCCACAACACUAAGUUCUCCUGACCGAUUGUUGCAGGAAUUAUCCAAAAACUCUCUUCUUCUAGAGGCAGAACAUUGAACAAAUACCUGACCAUAUUCUAAUGUGCCUGUUUCAUCAAGACAUCCCAUCAUUGCUCGUCCAUUCUGGAUAAAUAUCCUUGUUCUGGUUCUCAGCUCCAGCAGAUUUGAUGCGCGGAAUGUGUGUAGCAUCAUUGACAGAAACGGUUCUACAUCAGGCUUAUAACCACACAUAAGCAUUUCUUUCAAAACAUUUGUGUUCUCCCCUGAUGACAUCAGUUCCAGUGCCUCAUGUGCCUUCAAAGGAUCUGUUAAAAUGGCAUCUAAUUGCGCGACGCCCUCUCUCUGCUUCUUUUCAAAAACACGAUCUCUAAUGCCAAGAGUAGACAAAAGGGUUAUCAACUGGCGAUUAAGGAAACAGGGCUGAUACUUGCUAUUUGCCAAAAUGUCUAGACUUGUGCUUUCUGAUUUGUACUUGAGCAUACUCUUCCUCAAUGAUAACUUUGUUGAUGAAGUUGGAUCAACUGCUACAACACCUUUGUACCCACCAUAUCGAAUCUGAAAUGCAGAUGGAGUAUAAAUCGUGAAACCACAAUUUUUAGCCACAAUUUCGGCUAAUUCGGCAGAUAUUUUCCCUAUACCAUCCGAGAAACAAUAUGUAAUCCCAUCGUCCUCCACCUCUACAUCAGGAAUGAUUUCAAUAUCACUACUGUCAACAUGCAGUGCCUCUCUAGAUGAGCUGAAAGACUGACCAAGUCUAGCAGCAUACUUUGCAACAUUCUUUAUGUCGCGAAAAUCACCCAUUCUCUCUCUGAUAGAUGCUGCGGUAAGCUCAGGCCUGGAUGCAAACAUCCACAAAGAAUUAUCUUUCACUUGACUAUUUGAAAAUGCCAGAGUUUCAAACUUCUUAUCUCCAAUGACUAUCCCAUUUCUUAGAGUUGAGAGUACUCUUUCAUAAAUUCUUGUAUGCCUUUCUUCAUUGGUGGAAGAUGUCACAGGAGACAAAACUGUUGAGUACAACUUAUCCAAGUCCUCAUCAACAAAAGAAAGGCGAAGAAAGUUGUCAAUUUCAUCUGGAUAACUUCGUACCACACGAUUUGAUAGACUAAUCUCCGGACCAGAGAAAUAAACUUUAGAUGGGGUUACCAAAACCUUGUUUACAUAAAUCAACCCAUCAUCCAAGGCAACAGCAGGGGAUGUAAGAAAUCUCCCAGAUAAGACAUACUUCGUAUAUUGCUCUUCGAGACAGCUUACAGGCUCAUAGCAGCAGUUUCUUAGAUGAAAUAGCGUCUCCAAAGCACGGUCUAUGCAUUCCAUCUUGAUUCUACUUGGAUCAACCAAGCGAAAGAAUUUGGCAUCAAGUGCCGGCCCUGGAAUGCAGCCAUGUUGAACCAGAGAAUUGAUUUUGAAUAAUAUUUUGAAUGGCAAUUUAAUGCCAUGAGGUGGACUGAUCAUAGGGACAAGAUCAGU
rnacentral:lncRNA from 1 species